AUUUGUGAGAGUGCAGUAAUUUCUGACUCUUCAUGUCGGUCACAUUUUACCCAAGCCCCCUUGGGGGCAGAUCCGGGAGGACCAGUGAUGCAGUGGUCUAAGUACUGCAUCUCACUGCUGUCUAAGUCCCCCAGUUCUACUGCUGGUCCAGUUCUGCCUGCAGCUGUGACCCCCAGACCUGAUUCACUGGGCAUGUAACAAAGCAUGGAUACGUUCAAGAGCUGAAAGGAUCUCUCUCUGUCUCUCUCUCUCUGUCUCUCUCUCUGUCUCUCUCGCUCUCUGUCUUUCUCUCUGUGUCUUUCUCUCUCUCUCUGUCUCUCUCUCUCUGUGUCUUUCUCUCUCUCUCUGUCCUUCUCUCUCUCUCUCUCGACCUCUGAAUGCCUGGCUAUGAAACGCCAACUGACACUCACUCCUGAGGUGUUGAACUGUUCCACCAUCUAUAACCACUGUGGUUAUUACUUGACCUUGCUGGUCUCCCUCUAUGAAUGUCUUGAAUAACCGUCUUGCCUUAAUGUCCACAUGUACUCUUAAAAUGCGACAGCCAGAAGAGGGAAUUUUGACACCCCUUAAGAGGCUGGUUCCUCUUGGUUCCUGCCUUCUAGGGAGUUUUUCUUAGCCUCUGUGCUUCUGCAUCUGCAUUGCUUGCUGUUUGGGGUUUUUGGCUGAGCAUCUGUAAAGCACUGUAAUUAGUUUUAGUUAGUAAUUAGUUUUUAAAUUUUUAUUGAUUUAUCUACACGUUUGCUACUGUACCAUUUACACUAAAGCAGUUAUCCCUAUACAGCUAUUUGCUACUGUACCAUUUACACUAAAGCAGUUAUCCCUAUACAGCUAUUUGCUACUGUACCAUUUACACUAAAGCAGUUAUCCCUAUACAGCUGUUUGCUACUGUAGCAUUUACACUAAAGCAGUUAUCCCUAUACAGCUAUUUGCUAC
ensembl:lncRNA